rnacentral:rRNA from 1 species
UGGGGAAUUGUUCGCAAUGGGCGCAAGCCUGACGACGCAACGCCGCGUGGGGGAUGAAGGUCUUCGGAUUGUAAACCCCUGUUGGGUGGGACGAACACUUUCGUGGUGAAUAGCCAUGGAGGCUGACGGUACCACCUGAGGAAGCCCCGGCUAACUCUGUGCCAGCAGCCGCGGUAAUACAGAGGGGGCAAGCGUUGUUCGGAAUUACUGGGCGUAAAGGGCUCGUAGGCGGCCAACUAAGUCGGACGUGAAAUCCCCAGGCUCAACUUGGGAACUGCGUCUGAUACUGGAUGGCUUGAAUCCGGGAGAGGGAUGCAGAAUUCCAGGUGUAGCGGUGAAAUGCGUAGAUAUCUGGAGGAAUACCGGUGGCGAAGGCGGCAUCCUGGACCGGCAUUGACGCUGAGGAGCGAAAGCCAGGGGAGCAAA